ACUCAGGAUAGCUCUGUCAAUAGAGCACAAGAGACUCUUCAUCUCAGGGUUGUGGGUUCGAAACCCCACCUUGGGCA